rnacentral:ncRNA from 1 species
CAGCGAUUCUGACGUGCAAAUCGAUCGUCAAACGUGAGUAUAGGGGCGAAAGACUAAUCGAACCAUCUAGUAGCUGGUUCCCUCCGAAGUUUCCCUCAGGAUAGCUGGCACUCAUUCGCAAGAUCAGUUUUAUCCGGUAAAGCGAAUGAUUAGAGGUACUGGGUUCGAAACGAGCUCAACCUAUUCUCAAACUUUAAAUGGGUGAGAUGCCCGGCUCGCUUUGUAGGAGUCGGGCGCUGAAUGUGCGAGUGCCAAGUGGGCCAUUUUUGGUAAGCAGAACUGGCGCUGUGGGAUGAACCAAACGCCCGGUUAAGGUGCCUAACGCUGACGCUCAUGAGAUACCACAAAAGGUGUUGGUUAAUAUAGACAGCAGGACGGUGGCCAUGGAAGUCGGCAUCCGCUAAGGAGUGUGUAACAACUCACCUGCCGAAUUGACCAGCCCUGAAAAUGGAUGGCGCUGGAGCGUCGGACCUAUACCGGGCCGUCACCGCAAGCUGGAUCGCUGGCUAUUUUUUGGUGGUGCGAGCAGCGCAUGGCCGGUUGCGUGAACGACAAUCGGUCGCUGUCUUGCGAAGUCAUGAUCCAGGCAAGGAGGCGGUGGCGAGUAGGAGGGUCGCCGUGGUGAGCGUGGAAGCCUCGGACGUGAGUCUGGGUGGAGCCGCCACGGGUGCAGAUCUUGGUGGUAGUAGCAAAUAUUCAAGUGAGAACCUUGAAGGCCGAGGUGGAGAAGGGUUCCAUGGGAACAGCAGUUGGCCAUGGGUAAGGCGGUCCUAAGCGAUCCGGUGUCUCGGUACAGAUAGGUGGGGUGCCUUACAUACUUCUUUCUGUUUGUGUGCGCGCGUGCAGCCGACAGCAUCCCGGAGCGAAUGGGAAUCGGGUUAAUAUUCCUGACUUUGCCCAUGGAGAUAGGCAAGCGUUUUGCUGGGCCGUCAGUGUGUGCGCUUUUCUGGCGUGUGCAGCUGUGGUCCGUGUCUGGGCGCUGCUAAGCGUGGUAACGCCAGCGAGCUC